UGAAUCUGUACUGUGGAUUGCCA
rnacentral:piRNA from 1 species